rnacentral:rRNA from 1 species
AGAACGAACGCUGGCGGCAUGCCUAAUACAUGCAAGUCGAACGAACACUUCGGUGUUAGUGGCGCACGGGUGCGUAACGCGUGGGAAUCUGCCCUUGGGUUCGGAAUAACAGUUGGAAACGACUGCUAAUACCGGAUGAUAUCGAAAGAUCAAAGAUUUAUCGCCCAGGGAUGAGCCCGCGUAGGAUUAGCUAGUUGGUGAGGUAAAGGCUCACCAAGGCGACGAUCCUUAGCUGGUCUGAGAGGAUGAUCAGUCACACUGGAACUGAGACACGGUCCAGACUCCUACGGGAGGCAGCAGUGGGGAAUAUUGGACAAUGGGCGAAAGCCUGAUCCAGCCAUGCCGCGUGUGUGAAGAAGGUCUUCGGAUUGUAAAGCACUUAAGUGGAGAAGGUUGUAACCUAAUACGUGCAACUUUGACGUUACCGACAGAAUAAGCAACCGGCUAACUUCGUGCCAGCAGCCGC